rnacentral:rRNA from 1 species
UCAGAAACUACAAAGGAAUUGACGGGACCCGCACAAGCGGUGGAUGAUGUGGUUUUAAUUCGAUGCAACGCCGAAAAACCUUACCCACCUUUGACAUGUACGGAGCCCUCCAGAGAUGGAGGGGUGCCCGAAAGGGAGCCGUAACACAGGUGCUGCAUGGCUGUCGUCAGCUCGUGUCGUGAGAUGUUGGGUUAAGUCCCGCAACGAGCGCAACCCUUGUCAUUAGUUGCUACAUUUAGUUGGGCACUCUAAUGAGACUGCCGGUGACAAACCGGAGGAAGGUGGGGAUGACGUCAAGUCCUCAUGGCCCUUAUAGGUGGGGCUACACACGUCAUACAAUGGCCGGUACAAAGGGCUGCCAACCCGCGAGGGGGAGCUAAUCCCAUAAAAUCGGUCGUAGUCCGGAUCGUAGUCUGCAACUCGACUACGUGAAGUCGGAAUCGCUAGUAAUCGUGGAUCAGAAUGUCACGGUGAAUACGUUCCCGGGUCUU